AAUAAAAAGACUAUUGGCUAAAGACCAGAAUCACUAUUUAUGAUACAUUAGUGAACAGCUAAGGAUAAGUCAAGGGAUUCUCAAGACCCACUCUUCAAAUGGAGUCAGUCUGUCUCCUGCAUCGCAAGAUGGGUGGCAGUGAGGUGGCGGCAGAGGCUACCGACUAAAAGAAGGGCAGAGGCCAAAGAGGCAGGGAAAACUGUGGUUUAACUCAGCAAAAGCCUCUCUUGAAAUUAAACUCUGUCCUCUGGCAGAAGGAUCCUCUCUCCAAGCUCCUCUUACCCUCCUCCACAGCAAGCUGCCACUGGCUUCCCAGCCACAGCUGUGCUCUGACCCUGCUGCUGGGGGGUCACAGCGCACAGAAGGGGAGCGAAUGCUACUGCAAGAAGCAAUAAUGAAUCCUUUUUGACACACUACUUGAGCCGUAUUGGAGAGGAACGUUGCACUAAGAAUGGCUGUUUGGUGAUUCCGCCACCCCCACAGUCCAUCUGCUGCAUGGAGUUUAUGCCGAGGGACUGGUGGCAGCUUUGAGGAGGGGGGCUGUGUUUCCCAUCCAGACGGCUUCCCUUCCCACCACACGUUCGGGCGCACAUAGAAGAAACUGGCUUCUCAGAUGAAUGGCAAAUGCCACAGGAACUUUGAUGACACAAAAUGGUCAGGAACUCAACUGAACAUCUUCAGCAGCCUCUUGACCUCAGUACUAGGAGAGACACCGGUUCAUGAAUGUAAGUAGAAAGAACACCUCUAACCAAGUAGUAACUACUUCUUGGAGCACUUAAGUUUUCCAGUCGUCUCCCAUACAACUACUAUUUAAGCCUAAAACCUUUACGUGUGCCAAGAUCAUACUAUAAGGUGUUAUAGCUACAAUAUUUGACAGAAUUGUUAUAUUUUGCUACAAGUUCCAUUGUUUAAAGGAGCGUUAGAAAGUACAUAUUUCUUUCAAGCAAGAAGUGAACAGAAGAAGAACAUGCAAAUUAUGUAACUUUUAAAAACAAAGUUUCAGCUAUGCAUCAACUGACUUUUUAAAAAAAAUCAUUUGAAGCUCUGAAAGAACAAUACAGGAAAGUUAAUUUGGUCUCAAUACCUAGAAGAGGCAAGCCAGAGAGAUGUUACAUGUCUGUCAAGAGUCACAGAAGUAGCUCCUGACCGAUCCAAAAAGAAAAAUCUGGCCUUUUGAUGCACAGUUUUCUGCUUGAAUUACAAGAUUCUCUUUGCUCCUACUAGUUUAGUGGAGUUAUGAUUAAUAAUUUAAACAUUACAAGGACAACACAGUGCACUGCACAAACACUGCAUAUUAUGUGUAUAAGAAAGCACCCUUGCUAAUUCCAAGUUGGACUGUGAAACACUGCAUUUUCUCAUCUAUAUCAUUCAGCUAUACUUGUACAUGGUAAAGGAAGUACUGUUCCUUUUAGAGGCUGUCACCUCUGAUAUAACAAACUAUUCAACUUGACACUGCAAAAUACCCAGUGUUACUGUGAAUUUAUCCCUGUAUUUUGUCCUUUUUUUUUUUUUAAGCAUUAAUUUUUAUGUCCCCAUUUUAUGGAGCCCUUAUACCAUUCAGUGAUUUUUCUAAUUGCCUCAACAUUCAACAACUAAUUUCAAAACUUUUCCGCACAUAAGAGUUUGCAGUACCACAGACCUGCCACGCCUUUAAAAAGGUACUGUUUGAGAUCUUCCCAAACCUGAAAUUCAAGAGAGUUUAAUCUAACUUUAGAAUAGAAAUUUGUCUAAAACUUGGCCUGUGACCAAUGACUGCAAAGUAAAUUUAGGUUUAAAAUAUUGAAUUGAUUAUAAAGCCUGAAUGCUCACCAUUAUGCAUGCACUUUCCUGCUAGCCAUACACUGAAAAGGCGCUAUCAAAUAUAGCGUAUACAAUGUCUUCAAAAUGA